rnacentral:rRNA from 1 species
GGAGCAUGCGCGCAGCUGAUGCAGCCAUGCCGCGUGAGUGAUGAAGGCCUUCGGGUUGUAAAGCUCUUUCGUCAGGGAAGAAAAUGACUGUACUUAUAUGAUAAAGCCCGGACAAUUCCUUGCCAGAAAGCCCGGUUUUAAUCCAUGCCAGCAGCCGCGAUAAUAA